rnacentral:lncRNA from 1 species
ACAGGCUGAAGCUUUUGAUCCUUUUAAGAGGUCUAGCAGGACUUCAUCUACUAGCAGUGAGGGAGAAACAAAGUCAGCUGAUAUUUCCUUUUCCCAGGGGGAAACUGGGUUCAACAUACCUACACCCUGCACCACGGGGAAAACUGCACUUUCAGUCAUCAACCAGCGUACUGAACUGGAAGCUAUAACCACCGACUGUCGUGCAGCACCUGGAAACAUGACUUAUGGUGGACCAGUUCAGGGAUUCACAAAUGUUAAUCAAGGUAGCAGCAUGGGGACUGCAUGCGGACAUUCAAACACGAAUGAUUCCCCUUUCACCGGGAAUACAUUGUCUGAAAGCCAGUGUAUAUACUCAGGGGAGAGGUCUGGUGGUCCAAGAGACUGGGUUAUUCCAGUAGGGGACUCGGGAUUUGGAAGGGAUAGGUAAUUGUAG